rnacentral:rRNA from 1 species
AGUGAACGCUGGCGGUAGGCCUAACACAUGCAAGUCGAACGGCAGCACAGUAAGAGCUUGCUCUUACGGGUGGCGAGUGGCGGACGGGUGAGGAAUACAUCGGAAUCUACUUUUUCGUGGGGGAUAACGUAGGGAAACUUACGCUAAUACCGCAUACGACCUACGGGUGAAAGCAGGGGAUCUUCGGACCUUGCGCGAUUGAAUGAGCCGAUGUCGGAUUAGCUAGUUGGCGGGGUAAAGGCCCACCAAGGCGACGAUCCGUAGCUGGUCUGAGAGGAUGAUCAGCCACACUGGAACUGAGACACGGUCCUGACUCCUACGGGAGGCAGCAGUGGGGAAUAUUGGACAAUGGGCGCAAGCCUGAUCCGGCCAUACCGCGUGGGUGAAGAAGGCCUUCGGGUUGUAAAGCCCUUUUGUUGGGAAAGAAAAGCAGCAGGUUAAUACCCCGCUGUUCUGACGGUACCCAAAGAAUAAGCACCGGCUAACUUCGUG